UCGCCGCCUGUAGUCAGCCUCCUAAGCCUGCCUCCUUUGGUCCUCGGCACCUCCUCCUUGGCUCAACUAGGGGCCGCCCCGCACCUCCAGCCCCGGCUGGCCCGCUGGGAGCUGCAGAAAUUCGCUGUCUCCCUCUAUCCCACCUGGGAGAUGAGGAAACUGGGGUCCAUAGAAGUCUAAGGACUUGUCCAAGGUCACAGAGUGACAAAACCAGUACAAGAACUUACUCUCCUGUGUUCUUUCCACCACAUCGACAACCUUUGCUAAGAAGUUGUUACAGUGACCUUCUUCCAUGGAACUCCCGUAUUCCUUCUGGUCUCUAUAGCUCAUAUUACUUCUCAAAUAUAUCUUGCUUUGUGAUAUCUGUAUUGUUUUCUGCCUUUCCUAAAUAUUUUUCUAUUAUUUGAUUUUAUAUGUAUUUGCUCUGUUUUCCCAAUUGAACUGUACUUUUUUACAGGGUAGAGAUUGGAGCAGCUAGGUGGUGCAGUGGACAGAGUGCUGGGCCUGAAGAUGAGUCUUCCUGAGUUCCAAUCCAGCCUCAGCCACUUACUGUGUGAUACUGGUCAAGUCACUUAACCCCAAUUGCCUGAAAAAUAAAUAAAUAAAGGGUAGAGAUCA
rnacentral:lncRNA from 1 species